GGCAAUCCCUGGCCCCCAAGAUUCCAGUGGCGUCGUUGUCUCUACAUAUUAUUCUGAGGUAUUAUCCCUUACUUAGUGGCUGUGCCAUUGGUUUUAGGUCCCGUCUCGCCGAGGGCAUUUGUCCUUCGUGUCUUGAUUAUUGCUUGCUAAUACAGACACCUGCCACGCUCGCCUGUCCUGAUUAAAGAGGGAAGAAUACAUUUUAUCAGGAGACAGACACACAAUGGGAGGCGGUUCUUCUGUGAAUCGAAGCAGAACUUAUGUGGCCAAUGCCUCCGGCAGCACUCUGCGUGUGUAUUACUGCACAGACAAGCUGAUUCUUGAGGAAAUGGGUAUCAACACUGAGACGACACUUGGCAGCUCUAUGACACUUUCAAUGUCCAUGAAAAUGGAGAUGAUCUUGAAACGCGAUAAACGCGUCCGCUACCUACGCAGCCCACCCAACAAGCACGGCCAGAUCCUGGCUGAAGGAGAUAUCUAUGUCACCGUGUUCGUGGAGCAAAAUGGCAGCAGUGAUGAGUGCCUGAACAUCUCCCAGAACUUUUUAAUCCCCUGUGACAGGUCCUUCAUCGUCACAAAAGACCAGCACAUCAUGUUACAGAAGUAUGGAGCCAACAUUUGGGUGGAUGAGGGUGGCGUUGACCACAGAAAAUAAGAGACUAUCGACAGCCCAUCAAACAAUUGAAUCGUUUAGAGAGAUUGAAAAAAAUGCACGUAACACAUUAGGCCUACUUAUAGGGUUACAGUCUUGGUUUAAUUUAAGAAUGGCUUAAAUCAGUGGCGGCAGCCGUUUAGGAUGGGGACCCGGUGCAAGAUUUGCCAACCAAGAUGCAGGCACGCGCACACAAAGACAUAUAACCUACGCACGCAUGCAUACACACACACACAUACACACACAUUAGACAGAUAUCAUUCAUUAAUUCAUUAUCCUAACCCGCUUAUCCUGAACAGGGUCGCUGGGGGGCUGGAGCCUAUCCCAGCAUACAUUGGGCGAAAGGCAGGAAUACACCCUGGACAGGUCGCCAGUCCAUCACAGGGCACACACACCAUUCACUCACACACUCACACCUACGCGCAAUUUAGACUCUCCAAUCAGGGGCCAGUCGCGUGUAGGUGUAGAGCCCUACAAUGGUCACUACAGCUCGAAUCCACCCUUUGGCAAACCAUGACAUAAAUAAUGGAAACUAUUUUGUUGUAGAAUUGUCCCAUAAUCAUGUUUGUUGUGUCAUUAGAUUUGAUCUCCAGCUCUAUUUCACUAUGGAUUGGAAAUUCUUUCUGCCAUCAUUCUACUUAAUAGUUAUCUCACAUUACAAUUAAGGUAUUUGGCUUUGUCCCCCAACUGUUCACUCUGAACAAUAUGGUAUAUGCAAUUUGUUUUAAGUACAUUGUAUUUAAUGGCUGUUAUUGUAACUCUGUAAAUGUUUUUUUUAUUGUUUACUGCUGCUUGACAGUAAACAAUAAAAUUAGGGACAUGUUCCAGCCCCCUGCUCUGUGCUACUUAUUCUGGCGUUACUUCACAGGUGCCUCGUGGGCAGAGUACCAGGUUGUUUGCGCAAUUGGGAGCACCUGUGACCAGAUGUUAAAAUGUGCCUGUCUCUUGUCUGAAGGAGGGUACUCUCUGCCCACAUACCUGUUGGGUCUUUUUGGGUUUGCAUCAGACAACACUGCUUCAGCAUACUUUUCACACAUCCACUCACUCACACUACUGAUGCAACUGACUUUCACACUUUUUUUGUUACCUGGUUAUUUCAAAUAAAUUUGACCUUGUUUUUUAAA